GACGAACCGUGCGAACGUUGUUCGGAAUCACUGGGCUUAAAGGGCGCGUAGGCGGGUCGCCAAGUUUGGGGUGAAAUCCUCCGGCUCAACCGGAGAACUGCCUUAAAUACUGGCGAUCUCGAGGGGGAUAGGGGCAUGCGGAACUACGGGUGGAGCGGUGAAAUGCGUUGAUAUCCGUAGGAACUCCGGUGGCGAAGGCGGCGUGCUGGAUCCCUUCUGACGCUGAGGCGCGAAAGCCAGGGGAGCAAACGGG
rnacentral:rRNA from 1 species